rnacentral:rRNA from 1 species
GACGAACGCUGGCGGCGUGCUUAACACAUGCAAGUCGAACGGAAAGGCCCUGCUUUUGUGGGGUGCUCGAGUGGCGAACGGGUGAGUAACACGUGAGUAACCUGCCCUUGACUUUGGGAUAACUUCAGGAAACUGGGGCUAAUACCGGAUAGGAGCUCCUGCUGCAUGGUGGGGGUUGGAAAGUUUCGGCGGUUGGGGAUGGACUCGCGGCUUAUCAGCUUGUUGGUGGGGUAGUGGCUUACCAAGGCUUUGACGGGUAGCCGGCCUGAGAGGGUGACCGGCCACAUUGGGACUGAGAUACGGCCCAGACUCCUACGGGAGGCAGCAGUGGGGAAUAUUGCACAAUGGGCGGAAGCCUGAUGCAGCAACGCCGCGUGCGGGAUGACGGCCUUCGGGUUGUAAACCGCUUUCGCCUGUGACGAAGCGUGAGUGACGGUAAUGGGUAAAGAAGCACCGGCUAACUACGUGCCAGCAGCCGCGGUGAUACGUAGGGUGCGAGCGUUGUCCGGAUUUAUUGGGCGUAAAGGGCUCGUAGGUGGUUGAUCGCGUCGGAAGUGUAAUCUUGGGGCUUAACCCUGAGCGUGCUUUCGAUACGGGUUGACUUGAGGAAGGUAGGGGAGAAUGGAAUUCCUGGUGGAGCGGUGGAAUGCGCAGAUAUCAGGAGGAACACCAGUGGCGAAGGCGGUUCUCUGGGCCUUUCCUGACACUGAGGAGCGAAAGCGUGGGGAGCGAACAGGCUUAGAUACCCUGGUAGUCCACGCUGUAAACGGUGGGUACUAGGUGUGGGGUCCAUUCCACGGGUUCCGUGCCGUAGCUAACGCUUUAAGUACCCCGCCUGGGGAGUACGGCCGCAAGGCUAAAACUCAAAGGAAUUGACGGGGCCCCGCACAAGCGGCGGAGCAUGCGGAUUAAUUCGAUGCAACGCGUAGAACCUUACCUGGGUUUGACAUGGAUCGGGAGUGCUCAGAGAUGGGUGUGCCUCUUUUGGGGUCGGUUCACAGGUGGUGCAUGGCUGUCGUCAGCUCGUGUCGUGAGAUGUUGGGUUAAGUCCCGCAACGAGCGCAACCCUUGUUCACUGUUGCCAGCACGUUAUGGUGGGGACUCAGUGGAGACCGCCGGGGUCAACUCGGAGGAAGGUGGGGAUGACGUCAAGUCAUCAUGCCCCUUAUGUCCAGGGCUUCACGCAUGCUACAAUGGCUGGUACAGAGAGUGGCGAGCCUGUGAGGGUGAGCGAAUCUCGGAAAGCCGGUCUCAGUUCGGAUUGGGGUCUGCAACUCGACCUCAUGAAGUCGGAGUCGCUAGUAAUCGCAGAUCAGCAACGCUGCGGUGAAUACGUUCCCGGGGCUUGUACACACCGCCCGUCAAGUCAUGAAAGUUGGUAACACCCGAAGCCGGUGGCCUAACCGUUGUGGGGGAGCCGUCGAAGGUGGG